rnacentral:rRNA from 1 species
UACGUGAGGGUGCAAGCGUUGUCCGGAAUUAUUGGGCGUAAAGAGCUCGUAGGCGGUUUGUCGCGUCUGCUGUGAAAACCCGAGGCUCAACCUCGGGCCUGCAGUGGGUACGGGCAGACUAGAGUGCGGUAGGGGAGAUUGGAAUCCUGGGUGUAGCGGUGGAAUGCGCAGAUAAUCAGGAGGAACACCAAUGGCGAAGGCAGAUCUCUGGGCCGUAACUGACGCUGAGGAGCGAAAGCAUGGGGAGCGAACAGG